rnacentral:rRNA from 1 species
GAUGAACGCUGGCGGCGUGCCUAACACAUGCAAGUCGAGCGGCAGCGCGGGGUGCUUGCACCCUGUCGGCGAGCGGCGGACGGCUGAGUAACGCGUGGGAACGUGCCCCAAAGUGAGGAAUAACUGCCCGAAAGGGUAGCUAAUACCGCGUAUUAUCUUCGGAUCAAAGGAUUUAUCCGCUUUGGGAGCGGCUCGCGUCGGAUUAGGUAGUUGGUGAGGUAAUGGCUCACCAAGCCGACGAUCCGUAGCUGGUCUGAGAGGAUGACCAGCCAGACUGGAACUGAGACACGGUCCAGACUCCUACGGGAGGCAGCAGUGAGGAAUCUUCCACAAUGGGCGAAAGCCUGAUGGAGCAACGCCGCGUGCAGGACGAAGGCCUUCGGGUUGUAAACUGCUUUUAUAAGUGAGGAAUAUGACGGUAACUUAUGAAUAAGGAUCGGCUAACUACGUG